rnacentral:rRNA from 1 species
GACGAAGGGUGCAAACGUUGCUCGGAAUUAUUGGGCGUAAAGCGCACGUAGGCGGCUAUCUAAGUCGGAUGUGAAAUCCCUCGGCUUAACCAAGGAAGUGCACCCGAAACUGGAUAGCUUGAGUACAGAAGAGGAUCGCGGAAUUCCCGGUGUAGAGGUGAAAUUCGUAGAUAUCGGGAGGAACACCAGUGGCGAAGGCGGCGAUCUGGGCUGAUACUGACGCUGAGGUGCGAAAGCGUGGGGAGCAAACAGG